rnacentral:rRNA from 1 species
GAGCACGUAGGUGGGUUUGUAAGUCAGAUGUGAAAGCCUUCUGUUCAACGGAAGAAUUGCAUCUGAAACUGCGAAUCUUGAGUAUAGGAGGGGAGAGUGGAACUUCUGGUGGAGCGGUGAAAUGCGUAGAUAUCAGAAGGAACGCCGGCGGCGAAAGCGAUUCUCUGGCCUAUUACUGACACUCAGUGUGCGAAAGCUAGGGGAGCAAACGGGAUUAGAUACCCCGGUAGUCCUAGCCGUAAACGAUGGGCACUAAGUAGAGGGGUUUU